GCGCCCGUAGCUCAGCCUGGAUAGAGCAGCGGACUUCUAAUCCGCGGGUCGCGUGUUCGAAUCACGCCGGGCGCACCA
rnacentral:tRNA from 1 species